AUUCUGGUGCAGUAGAUAUAGUACCGUAAGGGAACAAUGAAAGAACUAUAUCAAGCACCAAAAAGCAAAGACAAACCCUUGCAUCUUUUGAAUAAUGAAUUAACUAGAAAAAACUUCACACAGAGAGUUCUAGCCAAGUCCCCCGAAUAGACGAGCUUCUCAAGAACAGCUAGAAGAGUACACUCAUCUAAUGUAACAAAAUAGUGAGAAGAUCCAUGAGUAGCAGUGACAAGCCUACCGAGGCUGGUGAUAGCUGAUCGUCCAAGAUAGAAUUGUAGUUCAACUUUAAACUUACCUGCAGAAUUACUUAUUCCGCCUGUAAGUUUAACUGUUAAAGAGGGACAGCUCUUUAGAUAUUAGACAAUAACCGUCCUAUAGAGAGUAACAGAUUUUACCACCGUAGUCGGCCUAAAAGCAGCCACCAAUUAAGGAAGCGUUUAAGCUCAACAUCUGACUACCUUCAUUUCUAAUCACCCUGUUGAACUCCUCAUAUUACAUUGGACUAAUCUAUUAUUCAGUAGAAGCAAUAAUGUUAGUAUAAGUAACAUUAAGACAUUCUCCAUUGCAUAAGCUUACAUUAGACCGGAAUAAUUCACUAACAGUUAACAACCUAAUAUUAACAAAUGAUUAAUAGACAUCUUAUUAUCUUUAUUUUAACCCAACUCAGGCAUGCUCUAAGGAAAGGUUACAAAAAGUAAAAGAAACUCGGCAAAUUUCACCCCGUCUGUUUACCAAAAACAUCACCCCUAGCAUUGCUAGUAUUAGAGGCACUGCCUGCUCAGUUCCAUAUGUUUAAGGGUCAUGGUAUCCUGAACUUGCAAAGGUAGUAUAAUCAAAUAGGGACUUGUAUGAAUGGCCACAAUGGGGUUUAGUUGUCUCUUACUUUCAACCAGUGAAAUUGAACUACCUAUUAAGAGGCAUGUAUAAAUAAGUAAGACAAGAAGACCCUAUGGAACUUUAAUUCAUUAAGGCAAAUAAAGAUUCAAACAAGCCAACAGGCUCCAAUGUAUCAUCCCUGCAUUAAAAAUUUUGGUUGGGGUGGCCGGGCGCAGUGGCUCACGCCUGUAAUCUCAGCACUUUGGGAGGCCGAGGCAGGUGGAUCACGAGGUCAGGAGAUCGAGACCAUCCUGGCUAACAUAGUGAAACCCCAUCUGUACUAAAAAAAUACAAAAAAUUAGCCGGGUGUGGUGGCGGGCACCUGUAGUCCCAGCUACUCGGGAGGCUGAGGCAGGAGAAUGGCAUGAACCUGGGAGACAGAGCUUGCAGUGAGCCGAGAUUGUGCCACUGUACUCCAGCCUAGGCAACAGAGUGAGACUCACACACACACAGACACACACACACACAAAUUUGGUUGAGGUGAACUUGGAACGUAAUUCAACCUCCGAAACAACUUAAACUAAGAUCGCACUAGUGUGAGUUAUUACACAUUGACCCAAUAAUUCGAUCAACAGGAUCAGUGACCCUAGGGAUAAGAGUGCAAUCCUAUUCUAGAGUCCAUAUCAACAAUAGGGUUUACGACCCCGAUGUUGGAUCAGGACAUCCUAAAUGGUGUAGCCGCUAUUAAGGGUUCAUUUGUUCAACGAUUAAAGUCCUUCCUGAUCUGAGUUAAGACCAGAGCAAUCCAGGUCAGUUUCUAUUUAGCAUUAAAUAGGGCCCACUUCACAAAGUGUCCUUACAAGACUAGGAUUU
rfam:Macaca mulatta chromosome 9, whole genome shotgun sequence.